GGGACACCCGAUCCAAUGCAUACCAGGACCGAGUUAGGAAGGAGGUGGCCUUGGAGCAAGUUGCCCAUAGCAUGAGGCGGCCCGAAUGGACCAAAGCAGAUGGCCGAAGCCGUGCAGAUUUAGUGAAACAGACAAAAACCCGGUGGAACAGCUGCCAGGAUCAAUUCCACCAGGAUCUAACAAACAAAGGCCGGAGUAGGGAAGGCAGCUCCAAAAAAAGUCCGUAUUUGUACACGGCCCAGUUGCAAUUUUUGAGACCGGUGAUGGAUUUGAGACCUACUGUGGACAGUCUGGAUGACCCAGAGGGGCGAAAGUGACACUCCGGCAGUAUUUUCCCCGGCAAGUAGUCCUGCCCCAACGCCGCUGACCAUCACUGGCCCAUCCCACCCUAUUACCGCGGAGCCCAGAAAGAGUCCAACAGCCGCAGCCCAGGCGUCGCCACAAUGUCCCUCACUCUUCCUCUGGGCAACCGACUCAGGAGAUGAUCGAUGCCCGAGUCAUUGAAUUCCUUGCCCAGAGGAGGAGGAGUGAUGUCAUGGAAGAGUCGAUGUUGAGGGGCCUUGCUCCUUUAUUGAAGCAGGUCCCUACCGACAAACAUCAUCAGUGUGUUGCUUUGCUGGCCCUCAUAAUCGAAAUGUAUGCCUCCCUUACCAGGGAGAUAUACACUUGUAAAUUAACGACUUGCGAAGGUAAAUCUUGAACAUCCCACCACAGCAGCAUGGACGCAGCUACCCCCAGCCUCCACACCCACCUCACGGGCCAUCUUGGGCUCCCCCCCCAACCACCAUACAACCAGUCCUAAGACCCUACACAACCUGUUGGUCAGCCAAGUUACCAGCCCAGUUUGGCAACUGGGGCCACAUAUCCUGGCCAUGUACGGCCACGCUCAAUAUAUGGGCCUGGCUCGUUUACACGAGACCUGUUUGA